rnacentral:rRNA from 1 species
AUUGAACGCUGGCGGAAUGCUUUACACAUGCAAGUCGAGCGGCAGUGCGGGGGCAACCUUGGCGGCGAGCGGCGAACGGGUGAGUAACAUAUCGGAACGUACCCCGUCGUGGGGGAUAACACAGCGAAAGCUGUGCUAAUACCGCAUACGACCUGAGGGUGAAAGCGGGGGACCGUAAGGCCUCGCGCGAUGGGAGCGGCCGAUAUCGGAUUAGCUUGUUGGUGAGGUAAAGGCUCACCAAGGCGACGAUCCGUAGCUGGGCUGAGAGGACGACCAGCCAAACUGGAACUGAGACACGGUCCAGACUCCUACGGGAGGCAGCAGUGGGGAAUUUUGGACAAUGGGGGCAACCCUGAUCCAGCCAUUCCGCGUGAGUGAAGAAGGCCUUCGGGUUGUAAAGCUCUUUCGGCAGGAACGAAACGGUGGCCACUAAUACUGGCUACUAAUGACGGUACCUGAAGAAGAAGCACCGGCUAACUACGUGCCAGCCGCCGCAGUAAUAC